AUCCUGUUCAAAUCACGGAGAGCUGGCUUGUGAGCCUCCGAUGCCCGCUUCUGCUCCUACCGCUGUUUAUCGGCAAUUACCCGGAAAGUCCUUCCUGUAAUUAACCCCAGCUUCACGGACACUGCUAUUUGCACAUCAUGUCCCUUCUGAACACCGCCUCUUUGCCAUUAUUCCCUGGAAAGAUGAGUCACUGAAGGAGAUGGCUUAUCUCAACUCAGUUUUUAACUAGCUUUUGUCUCCCAGAGAUAUUUGUCAAUGACACAACAUUUCAAACCAGGCACUCCCUACCACCCCCCCCCCACUUUCUUCAACUUCUUCUUUUUUUUAUUUUAAUAACAUUUUCUCCCUUUCUGCUUUUAUAUUUCUUCCUCUGCCUCCCUUAGCCUUUCAUGCAUUCAGGAUGUAGGAGAGCCAGCAUCAAAGCCCAGAGCACUGCCGAAUCCUCCUCCCUAUGGUCCGCCAUCAUCCUUAGAAGGUCAUGGGCCUGCUAGGCUGCUCAGGUAUCUCCAGGAUUGGGCUGAGCCAAUCAGAAUCAUUCCCUGGGACUUUUCUGUCUAUCACCAAGAAAGAUCACCCAUCUGUCACCAGUGGUGAAAGCUGUAAGAGAUAAAACUUGGGAGGCUGGGGUGACCAUGCUUCCUGCCAUGCCAAAGAAGAGAAGCUGCAGAGAGUGAAAAUUAGGACAGGCAAAGAAAAGCUGACAUACAAAGUAUAGAGACGUUCUGAAUAGCAUCUGAAUUACUAUUUGUUAUUGUUAUUGCUGUCAUUCCUAAAAUUAGACUCCAAGGAAUAAUUACCACUUCAUGGAGCCAGGGACCUGUGACCUUUCCAAAAAUCCAUAUAUGAGUGUUUAACAGAAUACUGAACAUAUAGAGUGGUCAUGAAAUUAUUUUAAUGAAAAAUGGGGCAUUAUAAAAAAAAGUGAAGUACGAUUCAAUUGAAGACCAUAAAAAUUUUUAUUUUCAGUUGUUAGAGAUGGGUAUUAUAACUACAUAAAAUAAUUUUACUAGGGAAAGGAAACCCUUCCUUCAGCUUGGAUGGUCAGCCUUUCCUGGAAUUCUUGAGACAAUAUAUCCCCCUUUGUGACUAACCUAGUUUGAAUUAUGUUGCUGUCAUUUUCAAAAUAGUCCCCAUGGAUAUACACAGAAGUAGGGUAUGGACACAGAUAUAAGAAGAAUUGUGUAAUUUUUUUGAAACCUACAAACUCAUGAUGCUUGAAAGUUUAAUAAUGAAUGACACUUGCUGUCCAUGAAUGCACAAAUAAUUAUAAUUUCUUAUUCACCACUGCAUCGGCACCUGGCCCCAUGACUGGCACACAGUAAGAUUUCAUAAAUGUUGAUUGAAUGAAUGCAAUACUUAGGAUUAUGGAAUGUUAACGAGCUGUGAUGGGGCAGAGAGAAGGGAACUAAAAGUCCUACUAGGUUACAGAGUUGUAAAUGUUCUGGGAGAGCUUUCCCAAAGGGGAGGAUGCGUUUGAGCUGAGCCUUGGACAAGGGCUAAUUGUUCAGUGGGUACAAA